AAAAGCCUUCCCUGCUGCUGCUGUGUGAAAAAUCACUUCAUGUUGUAUUUGUUUAACUACCACGAGCGAUCCUCUAACCAGCCAUCUUAAUGGAAUAUAACUGUUGGCCUCAGUUCAACCUGUUUUCAAGAACCACAAAUUGUGUAACAUUGUUCAGAAACCUUUCAGGCUCCAGUUUAUACCUUCAUAUUUUUCUGAGUACCUUCAUCAUGGAAGAGAAGUCACUCAGAAGGAUGAAACUGCAAGGUCAUUUAAACUGGAAAUAAGCAAGAUCUAAACCAAACCCUCCUUCGUUCAUUAACAAAGAUGUAAUUGCUGGCUACAACAACGUCCAACUUGAAGCAACUCAUCUUUUACAAAGAGAAGGGUGGAUGCAGCAAUACACCAUUACAGUCAGGAAACACUGCAACUACAUUUUCAGAUUUCCCUCACAAAGAGGAAAGAGCUGGACUGGCACAGAAUGCCACUUAUCCCAGGAAACAGGGGCAGGGAAUCCCAGAACACUCUGCACUACAGUUUUCACCCAGAGGCAAAUCCCUCCCAUGGACAGGUGAGCUCUCAGCAUGAGGAGGUCAACUGGAAAAGUGGACAAGGAAAGAAGAAAGUCCCAGUCUAGCUCCUGACUCCUUGAUCUUUCAUCCAUAAAGG